AGUGAACGCUGGCGGUAGGCCUAACACAUGCAAGUCGAACGGCAGCACAGUAAGAGCUUGCUCUUACGGGUGGCGAGUGGCGGACGGGUGAGGAAUACAUCGGAAUCUACUUUUUCGUGGGGGAUAACGUAGGGAAACUUACGCUAAUACCGCAUACGACCUACGGGUGAAAGCAGGGGAUCUUCGGACCUUGCGCGAUUGAAUGAGCCGAUGUCGGAUUAGCUAGUUGGCGGGGUAAAGGCCCACCAAGGCGACGAUCCGUAGCUGGUCUGAGAGGAUGAGCAGCCACACUGGAGCUGAGACACGGUCCAGACUCCUACGGUAGGCAGCAGUGGGGAAUAUUGGACAAUGGGCGCAAGCCUGAUCCAGCCAUACCGCGUGGGUGAAGAAGGCCUUCGGGUUGUAAAGCCCUUUUGUUGGGAAAGAAAAGCAGCAGGUUAAUACCCCGCUGUUCUGACGGUACCCAAAGAAUAAGCACCGGCUAACUUCGUG
rnacentral:rRNA from 1 species